AUUGAACGCUGGCGGCAGGCCUAACACAUGCAAGUCGAACGGUAACAGGAAACAGCUUGCUGUUUCGCUGACGAGUGGCGGACGGGUGAGUAAUGUCUGGGAAACUGCCUGAUGGAGGGGGAUAACUACUGGAAACGGUAGCUAAUACCGCAUAACGUCGCAAGACCAAAGAGGGGGACCCUCGGGCCUCUUGCCAUCGGAUGUGCCCAGAUGGGAUUAGCUUGUUGGUGGGGUAACGGCUCACCAAGGCGACGAUCCCUAGCUGGUCUGAGAGGAUGACCAGCCACACUGGAACUGAGACACGGUCCAGACUCCUACGGGAGGCAGCAGUGGGGAAUAUUGAACAAUGGGCGCAAGCCUGAUGCAGCCAUGCCGCGUGUAUGAAGAAGGCCUUCGGGUUGUAAAGUACUUUCAGCGGGGAGGAAGGGAGUAAAGUUAAUACCUUUGCUCAUUGACGUUACCCGCAGAAGAAGCACCGGCUAACUCCGUG
rnacentral:rRNA from 1 species